rnacentral:rRNA from 1 species
GUAGUUAGCCGGUGCUUCCUCCUCAGGUACCGUCAUUAUCGUCCCUGAAGACAGGAGUUUACAAUCCGAAAACCUUCUUCCUCCACGCGGCAUCGCUGCAUCAGGGUUUCCCCCAUUGUGCAAUAUUCCCCACUGCUGCCUCCCGUAGGAGUCUGGACCGUGUCUCAGUUCCAGUGUGGCCGAUCAGCCUCUCAGCUCGGCUACCCAUCGCUGACUUGGUGGGCCGUUACCCCGCCAACUAUCUAAUGGGACGCGAGCCCCUCCUACAGUGGAUUGCUCCUUUGACCUCAUCCCGAUGCCGGGUCGUGGUCUCAUGCGGUAUUAGCACUUGUUUCCAGGUGUUAUCCCCCUCUGUAGGUCAGGUUGCUCACGCGUUACUCACCCGUUCGCCACUUGGGUAUCUACCGAAAUAAAUACCCCCGUUCGACUUGCAUGUGUUAGGCACGCCGCCAGCGUUCGUCCUGAGCCAGGAUCAAACUCUGA